GUCAUGCGAUUGUGGGCGUGGAAGGAGGAGACGAGGCGCAGGUGGUCCAGGAGAAGCAUCAGCGUGGCCUGAGAGAAGAAGGGGGAACUCAACAGACGUGGCUGGAAUCAUCUGGAGGCACGGUCACUCACAGGUCCUGAGGGCUGGGACCUCUUCACAGGCUGUGGACUAGGGCUGCUACGUGGGCCUCUCCCUACGGUCCGGCCUUCUUCCCAGCAGUGCCCAGGGUCGACUUAAAAAGCUGAAGUCGGAUUCCAGCACGCCCCACCCCUGCUGUAGUCUUUCCAUGACUGCUCAUCCCGCCUAGAAUAA